rnacentral:rRNA from 1 species
CGUAGGGGGCUAGCGUUGUCCGGAUUUAUUGGGCGUAAAGAGCGUGUAGGCGGCCGGGUAAGUCCGGUGUGAAAACUCGAGGCUUAACCUCGAGAUGUCAUCGGAAACUAUCCGGCUAGAGUCCGGAAGAGGAGAGUGGAAUUCCUGGUGUAGCGGUGAAAUGCGCAGAUAUCAGGAAGAACACCUAUGGCGAAAGCAGCUCUCUGGGACGGUACUGACGCUGAGACGCGAAAGCGUGGGGAGCGAACAGGAUUAGAUACCCUGGUAGUCCACGCCGUAAACGAUGGGUGCUAGGUGUGGGCGGUGUCGACUCCGUCCGUGCCGAAGCUAACGCAUUAAGCACCCCGCCUGGGGAGUACGGCCGCAAGGCUA